AUUGAACGCUGGCGGCAUGCCUUACACAUGCAAGUCGAACGGUAACAGGUUAAGCUGACGAGUGGCGAACGGGUGAGUAAUAUAUCGGAACGUGCCCAGUCGUGGGGGAUAACGUAGCGAAAGCUACGCUAAUACCGCAUACGAUCUACGGAUGAAAGCGGGGGAUCGCAAGACCUCGCGCGAUUGGAGCGGCCGAUAUCAGAGUAGGUUGUUGGUGAGGUAAAAGCUCACCAAGCCUGCGAUCUGUAGCUGGUCUGAGAGGACGACCAGCCACACUGGAACUGAGACACGGUCCAGACUCCGAGGGGAGGCAGCAGUGGGGAAUUUUGGACAAUGGACGCAAGUCUGAUCCAGCAAUGCCGCGUGCAGGACGAAGGCCUUCGGGUUGUAAACUGCUUUUGUACGGAACGAAACGGUGAGCUCUAAUACAGUUUGCUAAUGACGGUACCGUAAGAAUAAGCACCGGCUAACUACGUGCCAGCCGCCGCAGUAA
rnacentral:rRNA from 1 species